UACGAAGGGGGCUAGCGUUGCUCGGAAUUACUGGGCGUAAAGCGCACGUAGGCGGAUUGUUAAGUCGGGGGUGAAAUCCUGGAGCUCAACUCCAGAACUGCCUUCGAUACUGGCGAUCUCGAGUUCGGGAGAGGUGAGUGGAACUGCGAGUGUAGAGGUGAAAUUCGUAGAUAUUCGCAAGAACACCAGUGGCGAAGGCGGCUCACUGGC
rnacentral:rRNA from 1 species